GACGAACGCUGGCGGCGUGCUUAACACAUGCAAGUCGAACGGAAAGGCUCCAGCUUGCUGGAGUACUCGAGUGGCGAACGGGUGAGUAACACGUGGGUAAUCUGCCCUGCACUCUGGGAUAAGCCUGGGAAACUGGGUCUAAUACUGGAUAUGACCUUUCUCCUUAUGGGGUUUGGUGGAAAGUUUUUCGGUGUAGGAUGAGCCCGCGGCCUAUCAGCUUGUUGGUGGGGUGAUGGCCUACCAAGGCGACGACGGGUAGCCGGCCUGAGAGGGUGAUCGGCCACAUUGGGACUGAGAUACGGCCCAGACUCCUACGGGAGGCAGCAGUGGGGAAUAUUGCACAAUGGGCGGAAGCCUGAUGCAGCGACGCCGCGUGAGGGAUGACGGCCUUCCGGUUGUAAACCUCUUUCAGCAGGGACGAAGCGUAAGUGACGGUACCUGCAGAAGAAGCACCGGCUAACUAUGUG
rnacentral:rRNA from 1 species